rnacentral:lncRNA from 1 species
CUGACAAGCUCUCGAAGAUGAUGAAGAUCGCGGAGAUCAAGAACGACGUGAUGGGGCAGUUCCACAAUGCGCUCUAUCUGGGUGAUGUGCAAGAGCGGGUGAAGAUCCUGGAGACUGCCGGCCAGCUGCCUCUGGCCUACAUCACUGCCUCCCUCCACGGGCUCACAGAGGUUGCCGAACGGCUUGCAGCAGAGCUGGGGGCCGACGCCCCCGCCCUCCCUGAGGGGAAGGACCCCCGCCUCCUGAUCCCUCCUCCUGCCCUCACCUGCAGCGGGGAUUGGCCGCUCCUGCGCGUCAUGAAGGGCAUCUUCGAGGGUGGCCUGGAGGGUGCCGGGAGGUCCGUCGGGCAGGACGAAGAUGAGGAGGCUGCUGCCGCCGACUGGGGUGACGAGGACCUGGACAUCGUUGACGUCGACCGUGUGGCGCAGAACGGAGGCGAUGGCGAGGAGCAGGGCGAGGCGAAUGCAGAGGAGGAGGAGGAGGAAGGAGGAUGGGACAUGGAGGAUCUGGAGCUCCCGGCCGAUGUGGAGACCCCAAAGGCGACGGCAGCCGUCUCCCGCAGCGCUCUCUUUGUUGCGCCGGCUCCGGGGAUGCCCGUCAGCCAGAUCUGGACCCAGAAGUCGCCCCUGGCGGGAGAGCACGCGGCAGCCGGGGACUUUGCGACGGCCAUGCGGCUGCUCAACCGGCAGCUGGGGAUCAAGAACUUUGCGCCGCUGAAGCCGCUAUUCCUGGACCUGCACGCGGGCAGCCACUCCUACCUGCGGGCGCUGGCGCUGGCCCCCGUCGUGCCGCUGGCGGUGGAGCGGGGGUGGAGCGAGGGUGCGAGCCCCAACGUGCGCGGCCCGCCGGCGCUGGUGCUCCGGUUUCCCCAGCUGGAGGAGAAGCUGAAGCUUGCCUACAAGGCCACCACGGAGGGCAAGUUCGCGGAGGCCCUGCGGCUGUUCCUGGCGAUCCUGCACGCCGCGCCCCUCAUCGUGGUGGAGCAGCGGAGGGAGGUGGACGAGGUGAAGGAGCUGAUCGACAUCGUCCGGGAGUACGUGCUCGGCCUGAAGCUGGAGGUGAGGAGGAAGGAGACCAAGGACGACCCCGUCCGCCAGCAGGAGCUCGCCGCAUACUUCACCAACUGCAAGCUCCAGAAGGGGCACCUGCGGCUCGCCCUCAUGAGCGCCAUGACCGUCUGCUUCAAGGGUGGCAACUUCGCCACCGCCGCCCACUUCGCCCGGAUGCUCCUCGACACCAACCCCGCCGCCGAGGCGCAGGCCAAGCGCGCCCGCCAGGUCCUCCAGGCCUGCGCCGACAAGCAGGACGCCGCCCAGCUCAACUACGACUUCCGGAACCCCUUCGUCGUCUGCGGCGCCACAUUCGCCCCCAUCUACCGCGGCCAG